rnacentral:rRNA from 1 species
GUCUAAGGCCAUACCACCCUCAACACACCCGAUCUCAUCUGAUCUCGGAAGCUAAGCAGGGUCGGGCCUGGUUAGUACUUGGAUGGGAGAAGAAAUCAGCUAUUGGGCU